rnacentral:rRNA from 1 species
AUUGAACGCUGGCGGCAUGCUUUACACAUGCAAGUCGAACGGUAACAGGUUAAGCUGACGAGUGGCGAACGGGUGAGUAAUGCAUCGGAACGUGCCCGAUCGUGGGGGAUAACGCAGCGAAAGCUGCGCUAAUACCGCAUACGAUAUGAGGAUGAAAGCGGGGGACCGUAAGGCCUCGCGCGAUCGGAGCGGCCGAUGUCAGAUUAGGCAGCUGGUGGGGUAAAGGCUCACCACGCCAACGAUCUGUAGCUGGUCUGAGAGGACGACCAGCCACACUGGGACUGCGACCCGGACCUGAGUCCUACAGGAGGCCGCAGUGGGGAACUCUGGACAAUGGGCCAAAGCCUGAGCCAGCAAUGCCGCGAGCAGGAAGAAGGCCUUCGGGUUGUAAACUGCUUUUGUACGGAGCGAAAAGGCCCUCUCUAAUACAGGGGGUUUAUGACGGUACCGUAAGAAUAAGCGCCGGCUAGCUACGUGCCAGCCGCCUCAGUAAAAC